rnacentral:rRNA from 1 species
UACGUAGGGGCGAGCGUUGUCCGGAAUUAUUGGGCGUAAAGGGCGCGCAGGCGGCCGAUUAAGUCGGAUGUGAAAGGCCACGGCUCAACCGUGGAGUUGCAUCUGAAACUGGUUGGCUUGAGUGCAGGAGAGGAGAGCGGAAUUCCCGGUGUAGCGGUGAAAUGCGUAGAGAUCGGAGGAACACCAGUGGCGAAGGCGGCUCUCUGGCCUGUUACUGACGCUGAGGCGCGAAAGCGUGGGUAGCGAACAGGAUUAGAUACCCU